rnacentral:misc_RNA from 1 species
GAUGAAGAACGUAGCGAAAUGCGAUAAGUAAUGUGAAUUGCAGAAUUCAGUGAAUCAUCGAAUCUUUGAACGCACAUUGCGCCCGCCAGUAUUCUGGCGGGCAUGCCUGUUCGAGCGUCAUUACAACCCUCAGGCCCCCGGGCCUGGCGUUGGGGAUCGGCGGAGCCCCCCGUGGUCACACGCCGUCCCCCAAAUGCAGUGGCGGUCCCGCCGCAGCUUCCAUCGCGUAGUAGCUAACACCUCGCGACUGGAGAGCGGCGCGGCCACGCCGUAAAACACCCAACUCUUCUGAAGUUGACCUCGAAUCAGGUAGGAAUACCCGCUGAACUUAAGCAUAUCAAUAAGCGGAGGA